rnacentral:rRNA from 1 species
AUGGGCUCGCGGUACGAGGUGGAGGUGACCGUGGGCUCCGCCCGCGACCUGAAGAACGUCAACUGGCGCAACGGCGGCCUCAAGCCCUACGCCGUGCUCUGGAUCGACGCCGGCGCGCGCUGCUCCACCCGCGUCGACCUCGACAACGGCGACAACCCCAGCUGGGACGAGAAGGUCGUCGUCCCGCUGCCCCCCGCCAGCCGCCUGGAGGACGCCGUGCUCUACAUCGACGUCGUCCACGCCAACGCCGCCGAGGGUGUCAAGCCGCUCGUCGGCUCGGCACGGCUGCCUCUCCGCGACGUCGUCGACGACGCCGGCGUCGGGGGCAAGGUGUCGAGGAAUUUGAGGCUGAAGCGGCCCUCCGGGCGGCCCCAGGGGAAGCUUGACGUCCGCGUCGCCGUCAAGGAGCCGGCCAGGUACUACGACUCCAACGUCCCUGGUGGCUACCCGGCGCCCGCCGGCUACGGCUCCUCCCGGGAUGCGUACGGUGGUGGGUAUGGUGCCGGAGCUGGCGCGUACGGCGCUGCUGCUGGGGCUGGAGGCUACGGCGCAUACGCGGCCGCGGCGCCUCCGUCGGGGUACCCGGGCUACGGCUCCACCGCGCCGCCUCCCCAGGCUGCCGCAGCACCGUACGGCGCCGCUCCACCGCCCUACGGCGCCGCGCCCCCGACCCAGGGAGCGGGCGGGUACGGCUCCUCUGUUCAGCCGGCAUACGGCGCCGCGCCCCCGACCCAGGGAGCGGGCGGGUACGGCUCCUCUGCUCAGCCGGCCGGCGGGAAGACGAAGAAGAAGGGGAUGGGGAUGGCUGGCGGGCUGGCGGUGGGCGCGGCGGCGGGCGUGCUGGGCGGGCUGGCGCUGGCGGGCGGGGCGAGCUACGUGGAGCACAAGAUCGAGGACCACGUGACGGAGCGCGUGGAGGAGGACAUGUACCGCGGCGGUGGGUACGACGACUACGGCGGCGACGACGACUACUAG